rnacentral:rRNA from 1 species
AGAGUUUGAUCAUGGCUCAGGACGAACGCUGGCGGCGUGCUUAACACAUGCAAGUCGAACGGAAAGGCCCUUCGGGGUACUCGAGUGGCGAACGGGUGAGUAACACGUGGGUGAUCUGCCCUGCACUUUGGGAUAAGCCUGGGAAACUGGGUCUAAUACCGGAUAGGACUACGCGAUGCAUGUCGUGUGGUGGAAAGCUUUUGCGGUGUGGGAUGGGCCCGCGGCCUAUCAGCUUGUUGGUGGGGUGAUGGCCUACCAAGGCGACGACGGGUAGCCGGCCUGAGAGGGUGUCCGGCCACACUGGGACUGAGAUACGGCCCAGACUCCUACGGGAGGCAGCAGUGGGGAAUAUUGCACAAUGGGCGCAAGCCUGAUGCAGCGACGCCGCGUGAGGGAUGACGGCCUUCGGGUUGUAAACCUCUUUCAACAGGGACGAAGCGCGAGUGACGGUACCUGUAGAAGAAGCACCGGCCAACUACGUGCCAGCAGCCGCGGUAAUACGUAGGGUGCGAGCGUUGUCCGGAAUUACUGGGCGUAAAGAGCUCGUAGGUGGUUUGUCGCGUUGUUCGUGAAAACUCACAGCUUAACUGUGGGCGUGCGGGCGAUACGGGCAGACUGGAGUACUGCAGGGGAGACUGGAAUUCCUGGUGUAGCGGUGGAAUGCGCAGAUAUCAGGAGGAACACCGGUGGCGAAGGCGGGUCUCUGGGCAGUAACUGACGCUGAGGAGCGAAAGCGUGGGGAGCGAACAGGAUUAGAUACCCUGGUAGUCC